rnacentral:rRNA from 1 species
UACGAAGGGGGCUAGCGUUGCUCGGAAUCACUGGGCGUAAAGCGCACGUAGGCGGCUUUCUAAGUCAGGGGUGAAAUCCUGGAGCUCAACUCCAGAACUGCCUUUGAUACUGGAGAGCUUGAGUCCGGGAGAGGUGAGUGGAACUCCGAGUGUAGAGGUGAAAUUCGUAGAUAUUCGGAAGAACACCAGUGGCGAAGGCGGCUCACUGGCCCGGUACUGACGCUGAGGUGGCGAAAGCGUGGGGAGCAAACAGGG